UGGGGAAUAUUGGACAAUGGGCGCAAGCCUGAUCCAGCAAUGCCGCGUGUGUGAAGAAGGCCUUCGGGUUGUAAAGCACUUUUAUCAGGAGCGAAACGCUGUCGGCUAAUACCCGGCGGAACUGACGGUACCUGAGGAAUAAGCACCGGCUAACUUCGUGCCAGCAGCCGCGGUAAUACGAAGGGUGCAAGCGUUAAUCGGAAUUACUGGGCGUAAAGCGUGCGUAGGCGGUUUCUUAAGUCUGCUGUGAAAUCCCCGGGCUCAACCUGGGAAUAAGGCAGUGGAUACUGGGAGGCUAGAGUGUGUCAGAGGGUGGUGGAAUUCCCGGUGUAGCGGUGAAAUGCGUAGAGAUCGGGAGGAACAUCAGUGGCGAAGGCGGCCACCUGGGACAACACUGACGCUGAGGCACGAAAGCGUGGGGAGCAAACAGGAUUAGAUACCCUGGUAGUCCACGCCCUAAAGCGAUGCGAACUGGAUGUUGGUCUCAACUCGGAGAUCAGUGUCGAAGCUAACGCGUUAAGUUCGCCGCCUGGGGAGUACGGUCGCAAGACUGAAACUCAAAGG
rnacentral:rRNA from 1 species